rnacentral:rRNA from 1 species
GAAUAUUGGACAAUGGGGGGAACCCUGAUCCAGCCAUGCCGCGUGUGUGAAGAAGGCCUUUUGGUUGUAAAGCACUUUAAGCGAGGAGGAGGCUACUUAGAUUAAUACUCUAGGAUAGUGGACGUUACCCGCAGAAUAAGCACCGGCCAACUCUGUGCCAGCAGCCGCGGUAAUAAAGAGGGUGCAAGGGUUAAUCGGAUUUACUGGGGGUAAAGCGCUGGUAGGUGGCCAAUUAAGUCAAAUGUGAAAUCCCCGAGCUUACCUUGGGAAGUGCAUUCGAUACUGGUUGGCUAGAGUAUGGGAGAGGGUGGUAGAAUUCCAGGUGUAGCGGUGAAAUGCGUAGAGAUCUGGAGGAAUACCGAUGGCGAAGGCAGCCAUCUGGCCUAAUACUGACACUGAGGUGCGAAAGCAUGGGGAGCAAACA